GGACUAACAUGAAUGUUGACAUAAUCAACUUCCACUAAAGCAUCCUUGUGCAUUGGGAGACUGUUAAACUGGAUGAUUGUUCAAUUAUUCAGUAAUACUCUACACCAGGGAAUAUCAGUAGACAAUAGGGAGCCUUGGUGCAACGGUUAAGUUGUCUCCUUGUGACCUAUAAGGUCACAAUUCGAGCCCCAGAAGCAGCCAAUUGUGCUUGCAUUAGAAUAGGUUGUCUACAUCACACCCCUUGGGAGUGUGGCCCUUCCUCUGAUCCUGUGUGAACGCGGAAUGCCUUAUGCACUGAUUCACC
rnacentral:misc_RNA from 1 species